GGGGGAGGCCUAACCUGCAAGUCGAGCGGUAGAGAGAAGCUUGCUUCUCUUGAGAGCGGCGGACGGGUGAGUAAUGCCUAGGAAUCUGCCUGGUAGUGGGGGAUAACGUUCGGAAACGGACGCUAAUACCGCAUACGUCCUACGGGAGAAAGCAGGGGACCUUCGGGCCUUGCGCUAUCAGAUGAGCCUAGGUCGGAUUAGCUAGUUGGUGAGGUAAUGGCUCACCAAGGCGACGAUCCGUAACUGGUCUGAGAGGAUGAUCAGUCACACUGGAACUGAGACACGGUCCAGACUCCUACGGGAGGCAGCAGUGGGGAAUAUUGGACAAUGGGCGAAAGCCUGAUCCAGCCAUGCCGCGUGUGUGAAGAAGGUCUUCGGAUUGUAAAGCACUUUAAGUUGGGAGGAAGGGUUGUAGAUUAAUACUCUGCAAUUUUGACGUUACCGACAGAAUAAGCACCGGCUAACUCUGUGCCAGCAGCCGCGGUAAUACAGAGGGUGCAAGCGUUAAUCGGAAUUACUGGGCGUAAAGCGCGCGUAGGUGGUUUGUUAAGUUGGAUGUGAAAUCCCCGGGCUCAACCUGGGAACUGCAUUCAAAACUGACUGACUAGAGUAUGGUAGAGGGUGGUGGAAUUUCCUGUGUAGCGGUGAAAUGCGUAGAUAUAGGAAGGAACACCAGUGGCGAAGGCGACCACCUGGACUAUUACUGACACUGAGGUGCGAAAGCGUGGGGAGCAAACAGGAUUAGAUACCCUGGUAGUCCACGCCGUAAACGAUGUCAACUAGCCGAUGGAAGCCUUGAGCUUUUAUUGGCGCAGCUAACGCAUUAAGUUGACCGCCUGGGGAGUACGGCCGCAAGGUUAAGACUCAAAUGAAUUGACGGGAGCCCGCACAAGCGGUGGAACAUGUGGAUUAAUUCGAAUCAACGCGAAGAACCUUACCAGGCCUUGACAUCCAUGGACUUUCUAAAGAUAGAUUGGAGCCUUCGGGACCUUGAGACAGUGCUG
rnacentral:rRNA from 1 species